UGAAGCUCACACAAGGGACAGCCACUGU
rnacentral:piRNA from 1 species